ACGAACGCUGGCGGCAGGCUUAACACAUGCAAGUCGAGCGGGUCCUUCGGGGUCAGCGGCAGACGGGUGAGUAACGCGUGGGAACGUACCCUUUGGUUCGGAACAACUCCGGGAAACUGGAGCUAAUACCGGAUAAGCCCUAACGGGGAAAGAUUUAUCGCCGAAGGAUCGGCCCGCGUCUGAUUAGCUAGUUGGUGAGGUAAGAGCUCACCAAGGCGACGAUCAGUAGCUGGUCUGAGAGGAUGAUCAGCCACACUGGGACUGAGACACGGCCCAGACUCCUACGGGAGGCAGCAGUGGGGAAUAUUAGACAAUGGGCGCAAGCCUGAUCCAGCCAUGCCGCGUGAGUGAUGAAGGCCUUAGGGUUGUAAAGCUCUUUUGUCCGGGAAGAUAAUGACUGUACCGGAAGAAUAAGCCCCGGCUAACUUCGU
rnacentral:rRNA from 1 species